rnacentral:rRNA from 1 species
AUUGAACGCUGGCGGCAGGCCUAACACAUGCAAGUCGAACGGUAACAGGAAGCAGCUUGCUGCUUUGCUGACGAGUGGCGGACGUGUGAGUAAUGUCUGGGAAACUGCCCGAUGGAGGGGGAUAACUACUGGAAACGGUAGCUAAUACCGCAUAACGUCGCAAGACCAAAGAGGGGGACCUUAGGGCCUCUUGCCAUCGGCUGUGCCCAGAUGGGAUUAGCUAGUAGGUGGGGUAACGGCUCACCUAGGCGACGAUCCCUAGCUGGUCUGAGAGGAUGACCAGCCACACUGGAACUGAGACACGGUCCAGACUCCUACGGGAGGCAGCAGUGGGGAAUAUUGCACAAGGGGCGCAAGCCUGAUGCAGCCAUGCCGCGUGUAUGAAGAAGGCCUUCGGGUUGUAAAGUACUUUCAGCGGGGAGGAAGGGAGUAAAGUUAAUACCUUUGCUCAUGGACGUUACCCGCAGAAGAAACACCGGCUAACUCCGU